CCCCAGGUUUCACUGGAAACCAUACAAUUAGAUAAGAAAAAUCCAG
rfam:Tauraco erythrolophus contig25536, whole genome shotgun sequence.